rnacentral:rRNA from 1 species
AACGUAGGAGACAAACGUUAUCCGGAGUUACUGGGCGUAAAGGGCGUGUAGGUGGUUUCGUAAGUCUGGCGUGAAAUAUCUCGGCUUAACCGAGGCAGGUCGUCGGAUACUGCGGGACUAGAGGACGGUAGAGGCGUGUGGAAUUCCGGGUGUAGUGGUGAAAUGCGUAGAGAUCCGGAGGAACACCAGUGGCGAAGGCGACACGCUGGGCCGUACCUGACACUGAUGCGCGACAGCGUGGGGAGCAAACAGG